rnacentral:rRNA from 1 species
GAUGAACGCUGGCGGCGUGCCUAACACAUGCAGGUCGAACGGAGGCCAGCCUUUAAGACCUUCAGGUCGAAGCGGGGAAGACUGAGUGGCGUACGAGUGAGUAACACGUUGGCAACCUGGCUCAGAGAGGGGGAUAACAUAGAGCAAUCUCUGCUAGUACGGCAUAAGGACACACUGGCGCAUGGCAGAGGGUGAAAAGAGAAUUGCUGUGGGGUGAACCCGAGGCUCAUUAGCCAGCUGGGAGGGUAAUCGCCUACCAAAGCGACGAUCAGUAGCCGAGCUGAGAGGAUCAACGGACACAUUGGGACUGAGCCACAGCCCAAAAUACUACGGGAGGGAGGAGUGGGUGAUACUGCCAAAUCGCGGGAAUGCUGAUGCAGCGACGACGCGUGAGUGAAGAAGUAUGUCGGUAUGUACAGCUCUAUAAGCAGGGAAUAUAAUGACAGUACCUGAAUAAGAAGCCCCGGCUAACUACGUG